GAUGAACGCUGGCGGCGUGCCUAAUACAUGCAAGUCGAGCGAACAGAUAAGGAGCUUGCUCCUUUGACGUUAGCGGCGGACGGGUGAGUAACACGUGGGUAACCUACCUAUAAGACUGGGAUAACUUCGGGAAACCGGAGCUAAUACCGGAUAACAUUUGGAACCGCAUGGUUCUAAAGUGAAAGAUGGUUUUGCUAUCACUAAUAGAUGGACUCGCGCCGUAUUAGCUAGUUGGUAAGGUAACGGCUUACCAAGGCGACGAUACGUAGCCGACCUGAGAGGGUGAUCGGCCACACUGGAACUGAGACACGGUCCAGACUCCUACGGGAGGCAGCAGUAGGGAAUCUUCAGCAAUGGGCGAAAGCCUGACGGAGCAACGCCGCGUGAGUGAUGAAGGGUUUCGGCUCGUAAAACUCUGUUAUUAGGGAAGAACAGAUGUGUAAGUAACUGUGCACGUCUUGACGGUACCUAAUCAGAAAGCAACGGCUAACUACGUG
rnacentral:rRNA from 1 species